rnacentral:lncRNA from 12 species
GGGGGGGGGGGGGGGGGGGGGGGGGGGGGGGGGGGGGGGGGGCUUCCAGGAGCCCUCCAGCACAGACCCCUGGUGCUGAAGCCUCUUGCUUUGGCUGCUCAAACACCACAGCUUUUGGCAAAGGUGGGAGGAGUGUAAGGAUUUUUCCUGUGCUGAAAGAGAGGAGGAACAGAAAAUUAAGUCCACUGCAGAAGCCAAAGGAUCCCAGCUUUCACACUUGUGCUCUGAUUGCUCACUGUGGGGUUUUAUCCAUGACAGGUGACACCAAUUUGAGUGCCCUUUGCCAGCAUAACUAUUUCAGCCAUGAAAAGGAGGCAGGACAUUGGCACAGCAAGGCUAAGAGCAGGGGAGGUGUGGGGGCAGAGCUGGAGAAGUGAGGGAACAGGCAUUCUCUUGUUUAGGUUCAUCAGUGCUGGGAGCUUGGCCAACACUGGUGCUGCAGGCACUGGGGACAUGGUGCCCCUGGCUGGGUUGUUUUCCUCUGCUCCUAACCCUGGGCUUCCCCCCCUCUCCAGAGGAGCAGAGAAUUCCUCCAGGCUAAGGUGACUCUGGUCCCACUCCAGGGAUGUGGCCAGUGAAGGAGGGGAGUUCUUUAGAGGAACUGACCACAAAAAACAAACCCAGCAGACACUGAAAUGAACUCCAUUGAUCUGCAGCACCAAGUGCUCACAGCAGCUGAGGCACGAGGUGCGUGCAGGACCGAGAAGUACCACUGCACUUGGUGUUUCUGCUUACCUGUAUUUUAGUUCUGCUUCCCUUCACAGCUGCUUUUCUGCCAAGGUCAGUUCCAUUUCCAGAAGCCUGUGGCACCUGUAGUCAAGGCUGGAAAUCCUCACUUGGGAUUUCCAUGUCACAUCUGGAUUUGCCAGGAAGCAGGUGCACACACAGAUGCCCAUUUCUGUGACAGCUCAGAAAUCAGCUUUCAGAGCACAGCCCAGCCCUCGGUGGCAAUGCUGGACUUGCACCCACUUUGGCAUGUCCAGCCUGAAGCUCCAGCUUGCACAAGACAGGGUUUACAACCAAGAAUUACCACCACAGCAGAUGCAAUCCAACCUCAUCUUGGUGAACACAUCCAUUACAGUGCUCCUAGCGUUGUUACAGCAUUUCACGGAGAAGAACAAGUUCCCAACAGAACUGAGGAUUUCACUCCUAUGUCUAAUCCUAGGCACCGCUUUUGAAUCCUCUUGGAAACAUCUUGCUCCUCAGAGCCUGCAAUUGUGUGUUUUCAGUCUUGUAUUUUUGUUAUUCCCACUUUAUCCUUUCAAUAAAGUUAGUAGAAAAUGUUUACAAUAA